GUGAGUCAUUGUAGCAAUACAAGGCAGACGGCUCAGUAACACGUAGUCAAUCUAACCUAUGGACGGGGAUAACCUCGGGAAACUGAGGAUAAACCCCGAUAGAUCAUAAUGCCUGGAACGGUUUAUGGUCCAAAUGAUUCGUCGCCGUAGGAUGGGACUGCGGCCUAUCAGCUUGUUGGUGAGGUAAUGGCCCACCAAGGCUAUUACAGGUACGGGCUCUGAGAGGAGAAGCCCGGAGAUGGGUACUGAGACACGGACCCAGGCCCUAUGGGGCGCAGCAGGCGAGAAACCUUUGCAAUGUGCGCAAGCACGACAAGGUUAAUCCGAGUGUUUCCUGCUAAAGGAAUCUUUUGUUAGUUCUAAAACCACUGAUGAAUAAGGGGUGGGCAAGUUCUGGUGUCAGCCGCCGCGGUAAAACCAGCACCUCAAGUGGUCAGGAGGAUUAUUGGGCCUAAAGCAUCCGUAGCCUGUUCUGUAAGUUUUCGGUUAAAUCCAUUAGCUCAACUAAUGGGCCGCCGAAAAUACUGCAGAACUAGGGAGUGGGAGAGGUAGACGGUACUCGGUAGGAAGGGGUAAAAUCCUUUGAUCUAUUGAUGACCACCUGUGGCGAAGGCGGUCUACCAGAACACGUUCGACGGUGAGGGAUGAAAGCUGGGGGAGCAAACCGGAUUAGAUACCCGGGUAGUCCCAGCUGUAAACGAUGCGGGCUAGGUGUU
rnacentral:rRNA from 1 species